UUUUAUUUUUCCUCGGGUUUCUCCCCCGCAUUUAUUCCCCCCACCCCGUGCUUUUGUAUUUCCUUUUUCUUCCCUUGCUUUUCACCCACACUUUUUUUUUUUUCCUCCCCCUUUUUCCCCCUCCUGCUUCUUUCCUUGCCUUUUCCUCCCUCUCUGCCCCCCCUCCUUCCCCAAAUGCAGAUGCAGGACACUAUUACGAAAGCAGCUGCAGCCCCAGCAGAGCAGGAGUGCAGGAAGCCCCAGCGAAGGGUGGCUGCAGCAGCCCAGAUGUGCGCUAGCCCAGAUGUGUGCUGCUCCAGGCCCAAGCCAGGGCUCUCGAGGCUUUUAAAAACUACAUCUCCACCGAGGAGGAUUUCCCCUCAAGGCCCGCAUGCACAAACGAAACUGGAAACAAUGGGAUCUGCAACAAGGCAGGGAACUGGCAAUUAAAUAGCGAGAGGUGAAUGUGACAACCAUACUACAAGCUAUGUCUUCCCAGGUGGUUCAAGGGUAUCUGGUUUUGAGGGCAUUCAUAAGAGUUCACAUCAUCUUUCCCAAGUAAACUCCAACUACAGUGGCACUGCUGUGAACCACUGUCAGGACAGGACUUCGUGAUCAAGUCUAAAGCAGGAAGAUCAUCAAAUGGCACCUUCCUGCAGUUCCACAAUUGCUGCAGCCCAGGUUUCCAAAGCCAUUUCCACUCAUCUUCCUUCACACCUUAGAAGACACGCUGGGCUAAGAUUUUGCUGAAGAAGAUAAAUUGUUUGGAUAGCUUCCUCCACAGCUGCCAAGUUCUGUACGAUACCUUGCUGAAGUGUCUCAUUAAAAAAAAGACGUCUUAGAAAUUCCUUGCGCUACUACAGUGAACAUAUUCACGAGGACUGAAACAACAGCCAAACACUAGUAAACAGCCAAGUAUUUACUAGUGGAAGCCAGGUACAGUCCAGUAAUCACUGUGAUUUCAGUGCACAAUCUGCUAGACAGCAGAUAUCUUAACUCACCAUGUGAAAACCACACAAGAAAAUCCAGGUAAUGCUGGGUUCCAUGGGUAGUUCACAUGCACCUGUGGAACUGCCAAUUUUCCAGAAUUUGCUUUCCAAUCAUUAGCACUGUUGAGUAUGUUCCCCAGAGAUUCCAGAACCAAGCUCAUCAGACAGGAGCUUCUGAAACACUUUUUCUGCAGCAGAGUUGAACUUUCUGUGUAAACUCCAUGGCUGAGUGUCUCCAAGGAGACAGAUCCACCAACUACUUGUUCUUUGUCAUUUAACAGUCACGACUGCAGAUUCCAGCUGGGCUAACUCAUCAGAAUCUUAAAUGGAUUAGACAAAAACAGCGUGUCCUUCUGGAGUCCUUUCUAUUCAGCAGCAGGCUUAACCUGCCCUCCUACGUACCUACUUUCUUUCUAUUUACAGCAGUGAAGGGGCUUUCAUACUCAACACCUUUAACUCUUACAGAGCGAUUUUAUAUGUAGGGCUCUAACGGCUGCUUCUUUAGCCAUACAAUUUUGCUAAACCAGAAGGCCCAAGUCACAUCCAGUUUAGCAGUAUAUGCAUGACCAGGAUUGAGAAAGGGAUGGAAGAGUAAAAGCAAGAGAGCUAACUUCACUUCUUUCUUCAUAUAUUUUUAUUUUAUCAGAAAGAUAAUAAUCAAUAGCAUUAUCUGUUCAUAGAUACUGCCUGCAAAGGAAUGACAGCAUAAAUAUAUUGCUCUCACUUCUCAAUCCUCUGAAGUAAGCAGGUCAGAAACUUGGUGAUACAUGCAGCUGAGCAAUUCCUGAAGCAAAAUGAAAUCAAGAUCACAAUCACCAAAUUGAAUGAGCUUAAUAAAUAUAUUAAAAGAUUGACCCAAUUUUAAA